rnacentral:rRNA from 1 species
AGAGUUUGAUUAUGGCUCAGGAUGAACGCUAGCUACAGGCUUAACACAUGCAAGUCGAGGGGCAGCAUUGGAGUAGCAAUACUUCAGAUGGCGACCGGCGCACGGGUGAGUAACACGUAUCCAACCUGCCGCUUACUCGGGGAUAGCCUUUCGAAAGAAAGAUUAAUACCCGAUGGUAUAAAGAGUUCGCAUGUUCUCUUUAUUAAAGAAUUUCGGUAAGCGAUGGGGAUGCGUUCCAUUAGAUAGUUGGCGGGGUAACGGCCCACCAAGUCUACGAUGGAUAGGGGUUCUGAGAGGAAGGUCCCCCACAUUGGAACUGAGACACGGUCCAAACUCCUACGGGAGGCAGCAGUGAGGAAUAUUGGUCAAUGGACGCGAGUCUGAACCAGCCAAAGUAGCGUGAAGGAUGACUGCCCUAUGGGUUGUAAACUUCUUUUAUAGGGGAAUAAAGUGAGGGACGUGUCCCUUUUUGUAUGUACCUUAUGAAUAAGGAUCGGCUAACUCCGUGCCAGCCGCCGC